UUAAGUUAUUAAGGGCGCACGGUGGAUGCCUUGGCACUAGAAGCCGAUGAAGGACGUUACUAACGACGAUAUGCUUUGGGGAGCUGUAAGUAAGCUUUGAUCCAGAGAUUUCCGAAUGGGGAAACCCAGCAUGAGUUAUGUCAUGUUAUCGAUAUGUGAAUACAUAGCAUAUCAGAAGGCACACCCGGAGAACUGAAACAUCUUAGUACCCGGAGGAAGAGAAAGAAAAUUCGAUUCCCUUAGUAGCGGCGAGCGAAACGGGAAGAGCCCAAACCAACAAGCUUGCUUGUUGGGGUUGUAGGACACUCUAUACGGAGUUACAAAGGACGACAUUAGACGAAUCAUCUGGAAAGAUGAAUCAAAGAAGGUAAUAAUCCUGUAGUCGAAAAUGUUGUCUCUCUUGAGUGGAUCCUGAGUACGACGGAGCACGUGAAAUUCCGUCGGAAUCUGGGAGGACCAUCUCCUAAGGCUAAAUACUCUCUAGUGACCGAUAGUGAACCAGUACCGUGAGGGAAAGGUGAAAAGCACCCCGGAAGGGGAGUGAAAUAGAACCUGAAACCGUGUGCUUACAAGUAGUCAGAGCCCGUUAAUGGGUGAUGGCGUGCCUUUUGUAGAAUGAACCGGCGAGUUACGAUUUGAUGCAAGGUUAAGCAGUAAAUGUGGAGCCGUAGCGAAAGCGAGUCUGAAUAGGGCGUUUAGUAUUUGGUCGUAGACCCGAAACCAGGUGAUCUACCCUUGGUCAGGUUGAAGUUCAGGUAACACUGAAUGGAGGACCGAACCGACUUACGUUGAAAAGUGAGCGGAUGAACUGAGGGUAGCGGAGAAAUUCCAAUCGAACCUGGAGAUAGCUGGUUCUCUCCGAAAUAGCUUUAGGGCUAGCCUCAAGUGAUGAUUAUUGGAGGUAGAGCACUGUUUGGACGAGGGGCCCCUCUCGGGUUACCGAAUUCAGACAAACUCCGAAUGCCAAUUAAUUUAACUUGGGAGUCAGAACAUGGGUGAUAAGGUCCGUGUUCGAAAGGGAAACAGCCCAGACCACCAGCUAAGGUCCCAAAAUAUAUGUUAAGUGGAAAAGGAUGUGGCGUUGCCCAGACAACUAGGAUGUUGGCUUAGAAGCAGCCAUCAUUUAAAGAGUGCGUAAUAGCUCACUAGUCGAGUGACACUGCGCCGAAAAUGUACCGGGGCUAAACAUAUUACCGAAGCUGUGGAUUGUCCUUUGGACAAUGGUAGGAGAGCGUUCUAAGGGCGUUGAAGCAUGAUCGUAAGGACAUGUGGAGCGCUUAGAAGUGAGAAUGCCGGUGUGAGUAGCGAAAGACGGGUGAGAAUCCCGUCCACCGAUUGACUAAGGUUUCCAGAGGAAGGCUCGUCCGCUCUGGGUUAGUCGGGUCCUAAGCUGAGGCCGACAGGCGUAGGCGAUGGAUAACAGGUUGAUAUUCCUGUACCACCUAUAAUCGUUUUAAUCGAUGGGGGGACGCAGUAGGAUAGGCGAAGCGUGCGAUUGGAUUGCACGUCUAAGCAGUAAGGCUGAGUAUUAGGCAAAUCCGGUACUCGUUAAGGCUGAGCUGUGAUGGGGAGAAGACAUUGU
rnacentral:rRNA from 1 species